ensembl:lncRNA
CAUCACACCGUCAAACUUUUUCAAUAACCAAACUUAGGUGGCGCUCCUUGAUUUUUAAAAUAUGUAGUUUCUGGAUUAAAACAACAUCAUCUUCUCCCUUAACACAACCCAGAAGUGCAACAGUAUAUGAAAACUAUCUAUGAAAAACCUGCAAAUCUUUUUUCAAAGGUUGAGUUAUAAAUAUUGAGAUUGAAUUUCAGAUCACAGCACAUUCUCACCUUGUGAUCACUGUAUUCCUAAAUUCAACACAUCAGACUCAUAGUAAAGUUACAUUUUAAAUUGUACAAUAUCACUCUUUUAUAAAUAUGUACAUAUGACCAAUUACUGAAAGAAUGAUUUCCCCAAAUUUUAUCUAAGAAAUAAAAUUAACUUACCAAAACUCUACAGAAAAGAGAAAUAAGAAGUAAAAGUGGGAGAGGGUAGUAUGGAAGAAAGCUAGAUUCUAUAUCUGAUGUCAUAGUUCGAAAGUGAAAGUUGCUCAGUUGUGUCCGACUCUUUGAGACUCCCAUGGAAUUCUCCAGGCCAGAAUACUGGAGUGGGUAGCCUUUCCCUUCUCCAGGGGAUCUUCCUAACCUAGGGAUCGAACCCAGGUCUCCUGCAUUGCAGGUGAAUUCUUUACCAACUGAGCUAUCAGGGAAGCCCCUGUCAUAGUUUGGCCUCAUAAUUUAGGAUAAACAUAUAAAGUGAGAUUAUAAAAUGAGACUGGUAUUUUCAUAAACAUGACAAUUAAUAUGCCCAAAUUAACGUUGUUCUUCAAAUUCUUCUAAGUAGCCACCUUAAGUUGUACCCAUAUUCGAAUGUUGACAUUACUCAAACCAUCAUGGACUCCUGCUUUGGGGAGGAUGUUCAAAACACACAAUACAAUAUCUGAAUACCCUCAAUGGUAGAAAAUAAUAAUCUUAUAAAAUUAAAUUCUAAGAAACAGUCAAAACUAAUUUUAGAUUCAUACUUGAUAAAAAUUUGGACAAUUGAGGUUAGUUCUUUCUCUGGUAAAACAUAAUUUUCAAUUGCUGUCACACAAUAUGCACUUUGAUAGGCACAAUUAUAAAACAACAAGUUUCUUGUGGGGUUUGUGAAGUAACCUGAAACUGUUCUUUGGAAUCUAGUUUUUUCCUUAUCAACUCUGAGGAAUAAUUUGUGUACAACUACCUGCAUCUAAAGUGUACAAUUCAGUGAGUCUUCACAGUUGCGUAUAUCCCUAGAAUCAUCACCACCAAAAUCAAAAUACAAAAAUUUCCAUCAGCCCCAAAAGAAGACUCGUUCCUCUUUCAAGUCUGGAAUCUAGUUUCAAACAUGCUUGGAACAGUGCCAGCCUUACUGGAAUAAGUUUAUAGCUUCCCAAGGAGGAAACAUUAAAGAACACCAUGUUUAGAUUUAGAAACAUCAUUGAUUUGAGAACAACCUUAAUGACUUAGCUCUUGAAAUAUUUGUAUUUAAACAGUAAAACACAUUCCAAUUUGCAAUGGCUUAUGUUGUAAAUAAACUCAGAAUUGGCUUCCCAAACCUUAUUUGAUCCAUAAGAAAUCAUACGUCAUAAUACAGAGGCUCUGACAGCUAGGCUGUUAGCAGGAAGAAAGAGCAGUAAAGAAAAGCCCUAGCCGCCCCAGAAAAUUGAAGGGAGGGUUUUGGAUUCAGAAGGUGCUCUAGUAACAGAAAUAGGGGGCAGUGCUAAAGGGAGGAUGGCAAUAGCUAGCUGAAAUUUCAGGUCACUUUAAAAUCACAUGUUCACACUAGGUAUUUCCUAUAUAAAAUAUAGUCAUAUUAUUUGAAGUUCAGGUUCAUCCAUUUUCGGUCUCAUCUUGUAGGACUUCCUUUUACAAUAUGUAUUAAGCAAUCGGUUUAAAUAACCAAAGCAAUGUAGCCUGUGGUCCAAUAAGCAGAGUGGUAACUGUGCUUCGUAAAUACUUGGGCAGGAGAAGCAGUCAGAAUCCUUGAGUGUCUAGUAGGAUUCAUUGAAACCAAUCACACUAAAAUGAAUGUUACGUGAGCUCAAGAGGAAACCUUGAAACCCAAGGGAUUAAUACAUUAGUCUGUAGUGUUCUUAAUGUUAAAGACAAUCCAAAAAAUUAUUAACCUAAAAACUUUUAACUGUUCAAAUUACUCUUCUAACAUAGCAAAAGUAAACCCAUAUGUUCUCUAGUGAAAACAUUUUAAUUUGUCUGUUUCUUAUAACAUAUAAAUGCAUACCAGUGGUAGGAUUCAAGAAAAUAUCACUAUUUAAACUCCUCACAGGAUUCAAGAUUUCUCAAAAACAGGCUGAAACUGAGGAUGAAGAAUUUCUUCCUAUUCAAAACAAUGAAUGUAGUUUGGAGCCAACAUUUGAGGAAGAUAAAGAAUACUUUUAGUAAACACAGGCAGUGUUUAAUUAACUUUCUUAGCUUAGUUGGAGGCCCCAAUUACACAUCACACCACACAGAAAAUGUAUGCAUCAAACUUCAGGUUAAAAUUGUAUCUCCUGAGCUUAAUCAUGAAAAAGGAAAAUUCCAAAUGUGUUUGUGUAAAUGGCAUUUUGGCUUUACAGACUACUAUUUUAAAAGCUAAAAACUUGAGAAAACUAUUACUUUUAUUUAAAUAUGUUCUGUAGGAAGCGCAAAGCUGUCAUCCUUAAAUGUGUUAAAACGUAUCUUGUACAAUAAAAAGAUUUUGUGUGUUUUUAGCUUCAGUAUAAACAAAA